GCACCUGUAGCUUAGUGGAUAGAGCGCUUGUUUCCUAAGCUGAAUGUCGUAGGUUCGACCCUUACCUAGUGCA
rnacentral:tRNA from 1 species